rnacentral:rRNA from 1 species
AUUGAACGCUGGCGGCAGGCCUAACACAUGCAAGUCGAGCGGAUGAAGGGAGCUUGCUCCUGGAUUCAGCGGCGGACGGGUGAGUAAUGCCUAGGAAUCUGCCUGGUAGUGGGGGAUAACGUCCGGAAACGGGCGCUAAUACCGCAUACGUCCUGAGGGAGAAAGUGGGGGAUCUUCGGACCUCACGCUAUCAGAUGAGCCUAGGUCGGAUUAGCUAGUUGGUGGGGUAAAGGCCUACCAAGGCGACGAUCCGUAACUGGUCUGAGAGGAUGAUCAGUCACACUGGAACUGAGACACGGUCCAGACUCCUACGGGAGGCAGCAGUGGGGAAUAUUGGACAAAGGGCGAAAGCCUGAUCCAGCCAUGCCGCGUGUGUGAAGAAGGUCUUCGGAUUGUAAAGCACUUUAAGUUGGGAGGAAGGGCAGUAAGUUAAUACCUUGCUGUUUUGACGUUACCCACAGAAUAAGCACCGGCUAACUUCGUG